UACGUAGGGGGCAAGCGUUGUCCGGAUUCAUUGGGCGUAAAGAGCUCGUAGGCGGCUUGGCAAGUCGGGUGUGAAAACUCCAGGCUCAACCUGGAGACGCCACCCGAUACUGCCAUGGCUUGAGUCCGGUAGGGGACCACGGAAUUCCUGGUGUAGCGGUGAAAUGCGCAGAUAUCAGGAGGAACACCGGUGGCGAAGGCGGGUCUCUGGGCCGUAACUGACGCUGAGGAGCGAAAGCGUGGGGAGCGAACAGG
rnacentral:rRNA from 1 species